ensembl:lncRNA
UAAUCCGUCUGAAGCGCACACCACGUGACAUGUUCGCGCAUGCGCUUCUCCUACCUGGGGGGUCCUGCGCCUAGAAAGGGAGUUCCCAGCAGAUCUUUUCUGCGCUGGGGGCGCUCACCCGGAUUUUAUAAGUCCCGUGGUGCAAGAGACCAUUUUCCUCUGGCAGAAAUAUAGGAAGAUCGUGCCGCUGUCCUCGUGGACCCUCUCCACGCCCGUUUCUCAGUCAGCUGAGCUCUGGGGAGCACAUCGUCUUCCUUGAUCCUCCUGUCCAUCUUGUGGCCAGGACAGGCCCCUCUUCAACUUGUGCAGAGGGUCUUUCUCCCCGCGCCUCUCGUUUUUCUUCAGUUCCUCAGAUCUGCAUUUUGCAGGCCAAGCUUCUCUCCAGGGGGAGCACUCAGGACAACGUGAAAAUGGCUGUGAGACCCAGGAAAAUUAGAAAAAAGUGUCCAGUGAAUUGAAUCGCCAUCUACAUGGUUGUUCACGGACGGAGCUGGAGAAUCCUACUUGAUACGCAGCCUUGUGUGCUGGAUCCACGCUCCACCCUCCUUUACUUGCCGUCUCCCCCAGCAGAUGGUUUGAGUAGAGAAAGUCAAGAGCAAUUAAUUGAGUCAAGAGGCCCCUGUGUUCUCUGGCUUCCUGGUUGAGUUUGGUCCUCCUCCUAACUUGAGAGGAUUUGCCUCCUAAGUAUCUACUCACUUCUCCCCUUCUCUGCUGCCAUCAUCCUAGUCCAAGUCUGGACCAUGGUGACAGAUUUCUAACUGACCUUCCCACUACUGCACUCCAGCAAGAAUGAUCAGUGGAAACCCAUGGGUGAUAUUCUCCUUAUUAAUAUCACCUGGAAACCUGUUGCUCUUAGAAUCAAGAUUAAAAU